UGAUAAAUCAGUCCAUGUAAAUAAAGUGCUUAAUCAGCUCUUUUAUGGAUAUCAGAUAGGACAAGGAACAAGAUUUAUGAUCACCUUCUACAGCCGCGACAAACACAAACACAGCUCUGACGGUGUGUGUCCCACCCGUGCUGACUACAGAGCUCUGAUGCUGGAGCGCAGUGGUGUUUCUGAGACGCUGGUCAUGUCUCUGGCUCUGACGGAGGAGCAGCUUUCAGUCAAACUGUGUCUCCUGCAGACGCUGCAGAUCCUGUCCAGAACAUCAGGUGACCAAUCAGAGCCUCCGCUUGCUCUCAGUGUGUGUCUCGGCUCUGCUCUGAACACGCCAUGUGUUUCUGACAGAAGUCAACUGUAAGCUGAUGCUGAGAGCUCAGGCUGCGCAGAAGAUCUGCUUCCACAUGAGUGAAGGAGAUCCGUCUGGAGAGCUGCUCUUCAGAUCCUCCGAGAUCCUGUGGAACCUGCUGGAGAACGGCUCUCGACAGGAAGUGACCUCACAGCUCAGCAGCAUUGACUGCAUCGCAUCUCUGAAGGACGCGUUUCUCCAUCUGCUCCUGAAGGGUUUCCGUCAUCAUGAGCGUCAGCUGAGGAACGACCUGCUGCUGCUGCUGUCUCUGAUCGCCGAGAAGCCCGGCGCUCCUCUGAUCGAGAGCGGCUUCCUCAAGCAUCUCACGCCCUUCCUCACGUUUCCUGAGCUGAAGAGCCACAAUCCUCUGGUGAGAAACCUCAAGCUGUCCUUCAACCAGGAGGACUUUGAGAUGAAGAAGCUCCUGCUGAACAUCAUGGUGGUGCUGUCGAGAGAUCUCUCCGCGCUGCAGCUGUUCAGAGAGGGCCGUGUGAUGCUGGCUCUGGUGCUGCUGGUGAAGCCGAGCUCGUGUGCGGAGCGCAGCGGCAGACACAGACGCAGAUGGACCUCCAGCCAGCAGGAGGAGCUGCAGCUGCAGGCGCUGUCCACACUGAGCUCGCUGGCUCCUCUGAUGCUGGACGAAUACAUGACGUGUCAGGCCAACACCUGCCUGCUGCUGCUGCUCGACUGCUGCCUGCAGCACGACUCCUCCAGUGGGCGGGGUCACGGUUUCCAUGGCAGCGGUGGGCGGGGCGGGAGGAAGGCUCUGCUGCGCUACUGUGUGCGUGCGCUCAGAUCCGUGACGUCUGUGGAGCACGAGCCGCUCCGGCAGGAUCUGUGUGAUCAGGGAGCCAUCGGGCAGCUCUUGGGUGUGCUGCGCUGGUUCCUGGGGAGGCCGCAGGACGAGGACGCUGUGGCUCUGGAGAUCCAGACGGACUGUCUGUUCCUGCUGUCUGUGCUCUGUGAGGGAGACGUACACAGGAAGGAGCUGUUCGGCCGUGACGGGGUGGAGGUGCUGAUCCAGUAUCUGAGUCUGGACGCCGCGCUGGUCUUCAGCGGUCUGGGUCAUAAUAAACUGCUGCUGUCCACCGUCGACUGUCUUUGGUCCUGUGUGGUGGGGUGUUUGGGAGCGGAGGAUGUGUUCGUGGAGCGCCGCGGCGUGGAUCUGCUGCUGCAGCUGCUGCAGCGGAGCCCCAGACGCAUGCUGUCUCCGCUCGUGUCCGCGCUGCUGGAGCUGUGUGAGAAUCCCCAGGCCGUCACACACCUGCUGCGCUGGAGCGGAGACAGAGACACCAGCGCGCCGCAGCUGCUGCUGCACAUCUGGAGGAGAGAGGAGGAGACCACGGGCGUCUCACGAGACCCACACGGCUUGAUCACAGACGUGAAGCGGCCGAUUGUCUCUCGGCAUCAGGAUCAAUCUUCAUCAUCGUCACCAUCAUCACAUGAUGUCAGUGCUGCUGUCAGAGACGUGUCAGAAAACCUGCGUGCAAACAUCUACUGCAUCUUCUGCAAACUGGGAUUUGAGCGUCUGUCAGGUUUGAGUGCUGAAGAUCACGUCACACUCAGCAUCAUCCACCGGUACCUGGACUUCAAGGUGGAUGAGGUUGUACGCGAGGUCUCGUCUGAGCUGUUGAAUGAGGGAGUGUGUGCCGUUGUGUCUGAUGAAGCGGCGCUGAGGAGCGUCCUGCAGGUCACUGAAGCCACGGCUGAGAGCGUGCGCUCGCUGCAGCAAAGCAUUCUGGGCCGUCAGCAGCAGGAGGAGCUGCAGGAGGAGCAGCUGCUGUAUAAAGAGAUCCUCUUCACUCAGAAGCAGAGAGAGAUCGCAGCAGAGGCCUGGAGGAGUUACGUGGCCAGAACCUCAAACUACAGCGUCCUGAAGGAGUUCAAGCGUCUUCAGGAGGAGCGGAGCACCUGUGAACCCCAUGCUCCAUCAGACGCAGAGCCGCCAGAGCCUCCGAACACACUCUCAGAUCAAUAA
ensembl:lncRNA